UACGGAGGGUGCAAGCGUUGCUCGGAAUUAUUGGGCGUAAAGAGCUCGUAGGCGGUUUGUCGCGUCGACUGUGAAAACCUGGGGCUUAACUCUGGGCCUGCAGUCGAUACGGGCAGACUUGAGUUCGGUAGGGGAGACUGGAAUUCCUGGUGUAGCGGUGAAAUGCGCAGAUAUCAGGAGGAACACCGGUGGCGAAGGCGGGUCUCUGGGCCGAUACUGACGCUGAGGAGCGAAAGCGUGGGGAGCGAACAGG
rnacentral:rRNA from 1 species